GACGAACGCUGGCGGCGUGCUUAACACAUGCAAGUCGAACGAGAAGAGAUGAGAAGCUUGCUUCUUAUCAAUUCGAGUGGCAAACGGGUGAGUAACGCGUAAGCAACCUGCCCUUCAGAUGGGGACAACAGCUGGAAACGGCUGCUAAUACCGAAUACGUUCUCUUUAUCGCAUGGUAGAGGGAAGAAAGGGAGGCUCUUCGGAGCUUUCGCUGGAGAGGGGCUUGCGUCUGAUUAGCUAGUUGGAGGGGUAACGGCCCACCAAGGUCGACGAUGCGUAGGGGUUCUGAGAGGAAGGUCCCCCANAUUGGAACUGAGACACGGUCCAAAACGUCCUACGGGAGGCAGCAGU
rnacentral:rRNA from 1 species